rnacentral:rRNA from 1 species
GACGAACGCUGGCGGCGUGCUUAACACAUGCAAGUCGAGCGGUAAGGCCCUUUCGGGGGUACACGAGCGGUGAACGGGUGAGUAACACGUGGGUGACCUGCCCUCAGCUCUGGGAUAAGCCUGGGAAACUGGGUCUAAUACUGGAUAUGACUCCACGGUGCAUGUCGUGGGGUGGAAAGCCUUGUGCGGCUGAGGAUGGGCCCGCGGCCUAUCAGCUUGUUGGUGGGGUGANGGCCUACCAAGGCGACGACGGGUAGCCGGCCUGAGGGGGCGACCGGCCACACUGGGACUGAGACACGGCCCAGACUCCUACGGGAGGCAGCAGUGGGGAAUCUUGCGCAAUGGGCGAAAGCCUGACGCAGCGACGCCGCGUGAGGGAUGAC